rnacentral:rRNA from 1 species
GCGCGAAAACUUUACAAUGCNGGAAACUGUGAUAAGGGAACAUCGAGUGCNAGNAUNAUAUGCUGUCUGUCCAGCUGUGUAAAAUACACGUGUUAGCAAGGGCCGGGCAAGACCGGUGCCAGCCGCCGCGGUAACACCGGCGGCUCGAGUGGUGAUCGUUAUUAUUGAGUCUAAAGGGUCCGUAGCCGGUUUGUCAAGUCUUCUCGGGAAAUCUGACGGCUGAACCGUUAGUCUUUCGGGGAUACUGCCUGGCUUGGAACNGGGAGAGGUAAGAGGUACUCCAGGGGUAGGA